rnacentral:rRNA from 1 species
UUUUGAAAGAUUUCUUCGGAAUGAAUUUGAUUUAGUUUAGUGGCGGACGGGUGAGUAACGCGUGAGUAACCUGCCUUCAAGAGGGGGAUAACAUUCUGAAAAGAAUGCUAAUACCGCAUGACAUAUCGGAACCACAUGGUUUUGAUAUCAAAGAUUUUAUCGCUUGAAGAUGGACUCGCGUCCGAUUAGUUAGUUGGUGAGGUAACGGCUCACCAAGACCGCGAUCGGUAGCCGGACUGAGAGGUUGAACGGCCACAUUGGGACUGAGACACGGCCCAGACUCCUACGGGAGGCAGCAGUGGGGGAUAUUGCGCAAUGGGGGCAACCCUGACGCAGCAACGCCGCGUGAAGGAUGAAGGUUUUCGGAUUGUAAACUUCUUUUAUUAAGGACGAAAACUGACGGUACUUAAUGAAUAAGCUCCGGCUAACUACGUGCCAGCAGCCGCGGUAAUACGUAGGGAGCAAGCGUUGUCCGGAUUUACUGGGUGUAAAGGGUGCGUAGGCGGCUUUGCAAGUCAGAUGUGAAAUCUAUGGGCUCAACCCAUAAACUGCAUUUGAAACUGUAGAGCUUGAGUGAAGUAGAGGCAGGCGGAAUUCCCCGUGUAGCGGUGAAAUGCGUAGAGAUGGGGAGGAACACCAGUGGCGAAGGCGGCCUGCUGGGCUUUAACUGACGCUGAGGCACGAAAGCGUGGGUAGCAAACAGGAUUAGAUACCCUGGUAGUCCACGCUGUAAACGAUGAUUACUAGGUGUGGGGGG